UACAGAGGUCUCAAGCGUUGUUCGGAUUCAUUGGGCGUAAAGGGUGCGUAGGCGGCGCGGUGAGUCGGAUGUGAAAUCUCGGAGCUUAACUUCGAAACUGCAUUCGAUACUGCCGUGCUUGAGGACUGGAGAGGAGACUGGAAUUUACGGUGUAGCGGUGAAAUGCGUAGAUAUCGUAAGGAAGACCAGUGGCGAAGGCGGGUCUCUGGACAGUUCCUGACGCUGAGGCACGAAGGUCAGGGGAGCAAACGGG
rnacentral:rRNA from 1 species